GAUGAACGCUAGCGGCAGGCUUAACACAUGCAAGUCGAGGGGUAGGUUACUUCGGGACUUGAGACCGGCGCACGGGUGCGUAACGCGUAUGCAAUCUACCUUAUACAGGGGAAUAGCCCAGAGAAAUUUGGAUUAAUGCCCCAUAGUGUUAUCGAAUCGCAUGGUUUGAUAACUAAAGUUCCAACGGUAUAAGAUGAGCAUGCGUCCCAUUAGUUAGUUGGUAAGGUAACGGCUUACCAAGACAAUGAUGGGUAGGGGUCCUGAGAGGGAGAUCCCCCACACUGGUACUGAGACACGGACCAGACUCCUACGGGAGGCAGCAGUGAGGAAUAUUGGUCAAUGGGCGCAAGCCUGAACCAGCCAUGCCGCGUGCAGGAAGACGGUCCUAUGGAUUGUAAACUGCUUUUAUACAGGAAGAAACACACCCUCGUGAGGGUACUUGACGGUACUGUAUGAAUAAGGACCGGCUAACUCCGUGCCAGCAGCCGCGGU
rnacentral:rRNA from 1 species